AUUGAACGCUGGCGGCAGGCCUAACACGUGCAAGUCGAGCGGAUGACGGGAGCUUGCUCCUUGAUUCAGCGGCGGACGGGUGAGUAAUGCCUAGGAAUCUGCCUGGUAGUGGGGGACAACGUUUCGAAAGGAACGCUAAUACCGCAUACGUCCUACGGGAGAAAGCAGGGGACCUUCGGGCCUUGCGCUAUCAGAUGAGCCUAGGUCGGAUUAGCUAGUAGGUGAGGUAAUGGCUCACCUAGGCGACGACCCGUAACUGGUCUGAGAGGAUGAUCAGUCACACUGGAACUGAGACACGGUCCAGACUCCUACGGGAGGCAGCAGUGGGGAAUAUUGGACAAUGGGCGAAAGCCUGAUCCAGCCAUGCCGCGUGUGUGAAGAAGGUCUUCGGAUUGUAAAGCACUUUAAGUUGGGAGGAAGGGUUGUACGUUAAUACCGUGCAAUUUUGACGUUACCGACAGAAUAAGCACCGGCUAACUCUGUGCCAGCAGCCGCCGUAA
rnacentral:rRNA from 1 species